UACGAAGGGGGCUAGCGUUGUUCGGAUUUACUGGGCGUAAAGAGCGCGCAGGCGGUCGUUCAAGUCGCGUGUGAAAGCCCCCGGCUCAACUGGGGAGGGUCACGCGAUACUGAUCGACUCGAAGGCAGGAGAGGGUAGUGGAAUUCCCGGUGUAGUGGUGAAAUACGUAGAGAUUGGGAAGAACACCAGUGGCGAAGGCGGCUAUCUGGACGGUUUCUGACGCUAAGACGCGAAAGCGUGGGGAGCAAACAGG
rnacentral:rRNA from 1 species